rnacentral:rRNA from 1 species
AGCGCCGGCUAACUACGUGCCAGCAGCCGCGGUAAUACGUAGGGCGCGAGCGUUGUCCGGAAUUAUUGGGCGUAAAGAGCUCGUAGGCGGCUGGUCGCGUCUGUCGUGAAAUCCUCUGGCUUAACUGGGGGCUUGCGGUGGGUACGGGCCGGCUUGAGUGCGGUAGGGGAGACUGGAACUCCUGGUGUAGCGGUGGAAUGCGCAGAUAUCAGGAAGAACACCGGUGGCGAAGGCGGGUCUCUGGGCCGUUACUGACGCUGAGGAGCGAAAGCGUGGGGAGCGAACAGGAUUAGAUACCCUGGUAGUCCACGCCGUAAACGUUGGGCACUAGGUGUGGGGGGCCUUUUCCGGGUCUUCCGCGCCGUAGCUAACGCAUUAAGUGCCCCGCCUGGGGAGUACGGCCGCAAGGCUAAAACUCAAAGGAAUUGACGGGGGCCCGCACAAGCGGCGGAGCAUGCGGAUUAAUUCGAUGCAACGCGAAGAACCUUACCAAGGCUUGACAUGUGCCGGUCGGCUCCGGAGACGGGGCUUCCUCCUUGUGGGGCCGGUUCACAGGUGGUGCAUGGUUGUCGUCAGCUCGUGUCGUGAGAUGUUGGGUUAAGUCCCGCAACGAGCGCAACCCUUGUCCCGUGUUGCCAGCACGUUGUGGUGGGGACUCGCGGGAGACUGCCGGGGUCAACUCGGAGGAAGGUGGGGAUGACGUCAAAUCAUCAUGCCCCUUAUGUCUUGGGCUUCACGCAUGCUACAAUGGCCGGUACAGAGGGCUGCGAUACCGUGAGGUGGAGCGAAUCCCUUAAAGCCGGUCUCAGUUCGGAUCGGUGUCUGCAACUCGACACCGUGAAGUUGGAGUCGCUAGUAAUCGCAGAUCAGCAACGCUGCGGUGAAUACGUUCUCGGGCCUUGUACACACCGC